rnacentral:rRNA from 1 species
GAUGAACGCUGACAGAAUGCUUAACACAUGCAAGUCUUUGGUGAAGCUGUGCUUGCACAGCCUAGCCAAGGCGGACGGGUGAGUAACGCGUAAGGAACUUGCCCUGCAGUCAGGGAUAACAGACGGAAACGACUGAUAAGACCUGGUAAAGUCAGGCGGACUCAUGUCCAGCCUGAUGAAAAGAGAUGCUGCAGGAGAGCCUUGCGUCCUAUUAGCUUGUUGGUGGGGUAACGGCCCACCAAGGCAAUGAUAGGUAGCCGGCCUGAGAGGGUGGACGGCCACAAGGGGACUGAGAUACGGCCCUUACUCCUACGGGAGGCAGCAGUGGGGAAUAUUGGACAAUGGGGGCAACCCUGAUCCAGCAAUUCUGUAUGCACGAUGAAGGUUUUCGGAUUGUAAAGUGCUUUCAGCAGGGAAGAAAAAAAUGACGGUACCUGCAGAAGAAGCGACGGCUAAAUACGUG